ensembl:lncRNA
AUUUAUCUCUCCUCUAACAUUCUUAUUAACAUUAAUCUAACGUUUAUCUAACGCUCAUCUAACAUUCUUAACAUUAAUCUAACGUUUAUCUAACGCUCAUCUAACAUUCUUAUUAACAUUAAUCUAACGUUUAUCUAACGCUCAUCUAACUUAUCCUUAUUCUUAUUUAAUGUUAUUUUAUUCGUGUUAAUCGAACUUAUCUAGCCUUUAUCGUUAUUAACGUUACUAUAACACUCCUGUAGUGUUAAUUUAAUGUUUUUAUUUGAUGCUCAUCUGACACUAACCUUCAUGUAACACUAACGUAAUGUCCAUGUCAUGUUCUUAUUUAAAGCUUAUCUAAUGUUUAUCUAACACUUGUGUAGGUUUGUCUCACGUGAGCGUCAGAUGAAAGACUGGAAUAAUCACACCGACACUAUUCCAGGUACCAACAAAUAGCCUGCACUUUUGAUGGAGGUAGGCGUGGCUGAUCAUAAAAGACCAAAAGUUCUCUCAGGUACUCUGGCGCGAGAGCGUUUAGUGCUUUAUAGGUUAAUAAUAGUAUUUUAUCAUCAGUGUGAGAUUUCACUGGGAGUCAAUGCAGUGUGGAUAAGAUCGGGGUGAUGUGGCGUAUCUUCUGGUUCUAGUGAGGACUCUAGCAGCUGCAUUCUGGACUAACUGGAGUUUGUUUAUGCUCCUACUGGAACAUCCAGACAGUAAGGCAUUACAGUAAUCUAGUCUAGAGGUGACGAAAGCAUGAACUAAUAUUUCUGCAUCAUGUAGUGACAAUAUGUUUCUUAUCUUAGAAAUAUUUCUGAGAUGAAAGAAGACUAUCCUAGUAAUAUUAUCUACAUGAGCAUCAGAUGAUAGACUGGAGUCAAUAAUCACUCCAAGGUCUUUAACUGCUGCACAUGAUGAAACAGAAAGAACAUCCAGAGUAACCAUGUGAUCAGAAAGAUUUCUUCUAGCUACACGUGCGCCUAGUGCGAGUUCUUCUGUCUGAUCAGAAUUAAGGAAAAGGAAGUUAAUAAUCAUCCAACGUCUAAUGUCCUUUACACAAUCCUCAACUUUAUUAAGCUGCUGUCUGUCCUCUGGCUUCGCUGAAACAUGCAGCUGUGCAUCCAGACGGUCCGUGGCCAGUUUGUGAUAAAAGAGUUUUAAUAUCUUGAUAAACGCAAAUGAAAUAAAUCCAGAGUGAAUUUCCACACACACCACACAAUUCCUUCUGUUAGACGAGGUCUGAUAUUCCAUUUAGACGUUUAUUUACUUGGCUUGUCGGAGCCAGAGGUUUUUAUUUGAACUUGGUGCUCUUCAGUCUGCAGUAAAUCAGGUCUGAUCUGUGGUUUAGAUCAGAUAUGAACACAAUGUGCAAUUUAAUCUUAAAGUUCGGUCACAUGUUGGGUCUUUUAGAUGUUUUGUGUCGCUGUUCCAGAUAAAAGAUGGAAAGAUCUUGUGGAAGUUAUUUUACUGCAUGAGUACAACAAAAACAUAUGAGAAAUGAUGACGGGCAAGACGGAGCUGGUGAUUUCAUUUAAUCCCAGAUUAGAGCAGACUAAGAGCAAACCUGACAGAUCGUCUGACAGAGCUCAUCUUCACAGACAGUUUGUGAACACUGGAUUUGUUUUCCUCAAAUCUGAAACCACAGACGCAGACGCAGACACAGACGCAGACGCAGACUCGCAAAUGGCAUUGUGUAUUUCAGAGUUAUUUUCUCUGAUAUGCUUCAGAUUCCUCACAACAAACAAUAUUUCUGUCAUUCCUGUGGUCUGAGAUCUGCCAUGGAGAGAGAGAAAGAGAGAGGGGGGGGGGGAGAAAGAUGGGGGAAGAUAGGAGGGGAGAGAGGAAAGAGAGAAAGGGAGAGAGAGAGAGAGAGAGAGGAAAAGAGAGAGAGAGAGAGAGAGAGAGAGAGAAACAGAGAGAGAGAGAGGGAGGGAAGAGCAAGAGAGAGAGCUCUUGCAAAAGAGCUUGAAAAUGCAAGUGGAAAUAUUUCUUCCUGGGUUAUUUUUCAUCCCAUUUUUGCUCCUCAGUUAAAAGCAUGUUUGAAUCCUGGCCAGAAACAUGUGAAAGAGUGAGUUAUUAUAGAGUUAUUAUAGAGUUAUUAUAGAGAGUUAUUAUAGAGUUAUUAUAGAAGUUAUAGAGUUAUUAUAGAGUUAUUAUAGAGAGUUAUAGAGAGUUAUAGAGAGUUAUAAUAGAGUUAUUAUAGAGAAUAUAUCACAAACGCGCGUGUGUGUUAGAAUCAGAGCGAAAUGAUUGUGAUCUCUUCUGAAACUGUUAGAAAUGAAAGAAGAACAAUUUCAGUUUGUUUAUGUGUUUCAGGACUCUGCUGUAAGAAAGGAAAAGUUAAUCAUGGUGUGCGUGUGUGUGUGUGUGUGUGUGUGUGUG